UUUGCGUUAGUUCCACUUCCACAUUGCUCCACCUCCCUUGGCUCCUCACCUCCAAGAACGCGCGCAGCACCAAAUGCAGCCGCCUAUUCCCCUUCCACUUUCACUUCAAUUCCCAACCAAUCUGGCCUUCGCUACUCUAUCUUCUUGGUUCGCAUCUCCAAAUCUGACACCAGUGGGAGAUGCGGCCUCCCACGCUCGCAAGCGACGCCAAAUCGGCGGCUGCCCGUCCAUGAGUACUCGCCUCCCUCCGGUGGGAAUCAGUGCCCAGCUGGCCUGAUGUUGUUGCUGAUGUGCUCUUCCUGUAGUUCAACGCGGCGUGCCUCGUCGGCAGGCCGACAGCGCCGGUUGCCGAACUCUAGCCCUUGGGCGGAGAGGUAGGGGUCUCCGACGUUCGUCUCCCAGGAACGCUGUGGUGGAAGGAUGUUGUUCGGCACCACUCCCUCAGAGGCGCAGCGCUGGGGAUCAGGAGUAGUAGGCUUCUAUAUAUAUUUGAGAUGAGGCUAUGGAGCAGAUUGUCAAGUAUAUCAACCAGAGAUACAAGAAUACAUCUGUGUAUGUUUCUGACAAUGUUUACUUGCAAAACGGUGAAGCAGUAUGGAGGACGUGAUCGUUGACACCAGAAGAAAGCAGUACCUGCAGGGCAGCAGGUGUAUCUUACAUCUAUCUCUUCAGCAGUCACCAGUCAGGUACGUGUAAUGGAACUAUGUAUGUGCAUUCUAUUAAUUUUGCAUCUGACGGAGAAACACAUCGAUCAUAUUCUUAAUUCAUGCGUGUUAUGCCGUUCUGACAUACUUCACCCAUGACACUUUUUUUUACAUAUAAACUAAACCAGAAAAAGAUUCUGCAAAUAGUGUGUUUCUCUCAUGCUCAUUCUGUUAGCCUACAUACCUCUUUAGAGAGCACAAGCUCCCAUAUCUGAAUUUUAUUUUCGACAUUGAGUUAUCAUAAGCGUAUUCUGUUAGUCUACUUACUAAUUUAGAGAGCAUGGGAAUAUGAUCCUGAUGGCUUCUAUUUGUUACAGUUGAAAAAUAUGAUACGAUACGUAGAUAGCUUAUAUUCAGAUUUGUUCAGAUCUCACCUGUCACAAGUGUCGGACAAUUUUCUUCUGAUGGCAAGGAUGUAGGACUAUUUGGUGGUCCUUGCUGCAUAAUAUUGUUGCCGCUCCCAUUAAUAGACAAGUAUAGGACGAGACAAAAUUUUCAGCGGGUGGCUCAAACGGGGUGGUCCAUGCAUACAACAGUCUUACCCUGCCCUCCCGAAUUCUUCAUUUCCUUACCUUCUACAUUCAACCAACUGAACUUACCAUUUUUUAUGGUAUAAGCAUGGAUGAGUUGAUUGGCUCCGUUCACUUUAUUUCUCCUACUUAUAGGAGCGUCAGUGGUUUUAAUCGUGCUGCCAUUGCCUGGCACUUGGUGAGAGACCUAUGUGAUAUUAGAGCACUUUCAUGUAACCUCUUUUGAGGUACCUCUAUUCAGGUACAGUUUCUAAAAGAAUAGAUAAGUUGCAUCACUGAGAGGUAAAGGUUUUGCUUUUUUUGGCAACAAUCGACAUAUUUGGACAAAGUCCAUGUGUAAUAAUGUUACUUUACUGGGGUUUUGUCGUACAUUUAUUUGAUCCGUUUGAUUGGUGAUAUAUCAGUAUCUCAUUUGGUUGGUACUGCA